rnacentral:lncRNA from 1 species
CUGGAAUCAAGUUAAAGCAGUCUGAGAUCAGCUUCAACAUUGGAAGGAAGCCUCAGGGAUCCCAUCCCCAUGGAGUGAGCUCUGUUUCAGCCAGAGAAGAAUGAAGUUGAAUCCUGGUUGAGAGACAGAUUUGGAACCAGUUGCAGAUUUGCAAAUUCCUGGAGAAAGCUGGAAGCAAAGACUUCGGAUGUCGAGGUGAGCUGGAAAAAGCUGCCUGCACUCCUGGCCAUUCCUUGGAGCGUGGCACUUCUUUCCUUUAAUCUUUGUAAUUUCAAAUAGUUCUUGAACUAUUAACUCCCAAGAUCCAAAGGAAC